rnacentral:rRNA from 1 species
AUUGAACGCUGGCGGCAGGCCUAACACAUGCAAGUCGAACGAGUGGCGGACGGGUGAGUAAUGUCUGGGAAAGUGCCUGAUGGAGGGGUGUAACUACUGGAAACGGUAGCUAAUACCGCAUACCAUCAGAUGUGCCCUGAUGGGAUGAGCUUGUUGGUGGGGUAACGGCUCACCAAGGCGAAGCGUCCUAGCGGGUCUGAGAGGCUGACCAGCCACACUGGAACUGAGACACGGUCCAGACUCCUACGGGAGGCAGCAGUGGGGAAUAUUGCACAAUGGGCGCAAGCCUGAUGGAGCCAUGCCGCGUGUAUGAAGAAGGCCUUCGGGUUGUAAAGUACUUUCAGUGGGGAGGCGGUACCCGCAGAAGAAGCACCGGCUAACUCCGUGCCAGCCGCCGCGGUAAUAC